GCUUAACACAUGCAAGUCGAGCGGUAAGGCCCUUCGGGGUACACGAGCGGCGAACGGGUGAGUAACACGUGGGUGAUCUGCCUCGCACUUCGGGAUAAGCCUGGGAAACUGGGUCUAAUACCGGAUAUGACUCCUGGUUGCAUGGCUGGGGGUGGAAAGAUUUAUCGGUGCGAGAUGGGCCCGCGGCCUAUCAGCUUGUUGGUGGGGUAAUGGCCUACCAAGGCGACGACGGGUAGCCGGCCUGAGAGGGCGACCGGCCACACUGGGACUGAGACACGGCCCAGACUCCUACGGGAGGCAGCAGUGGGGAAUAUUGCACAAUGGGCGAAAGCCUGAUGCAGCGACGCCGCGUGAGGGAUGACGGCCUUCGGGUUGUAAACCUCUUUCGACAGGGACGAAGCGUAAGUGACGGUACCUGUAGAAGAAGCACCGGCCAACUACGUGCCAGCAGCCGCGGUAAUACGUAGGGUGCGAGCGUUGUCCGGAAUUACUGGGCGUAAAGAGCUUGUAGGCGGUUUGUCGCGUCGUCUGUGAAAACUCACAGCUCAACUGUGAGCUUGCAGGCGAUACGGGCAGACUUGAGUACUGCAGGGGAGACUGGAAUUC
rnacentral:rRNA from 1 species